rnacentral:lncRNA from 1 species
CUUGGCAAGCAGGAGGGCGCCGUGAUUAAACGUAUGAUUUCUGCCACCUCCAAAGCCGCAGCCAAUGAGAAGGCUAUUUUAGCAAAACUGGAAAGAAAAAUGCAAUUUUUCUUGGCCACAUCGUCUUCGUUUCCUCUGCUCCUGGCGUUCGGUUUGUUUGUCUCUUCUCACUACUGAGAGGCAGUUUUGCCAGCCUGUGCCUCCCGCCGGCUGUGGCUCGAGGUGUGGACGCCCGCGCCACCUUCCCGUUCCCGUUUCAGGGGGGAAGCUGCAGAGUUCUGGAGCUGUGAGUAGCACCGCUGUCGCCGCAAAGCAGAACCCCCAGUGAUUAGGGACGCUCCACGGACUUCACGGCUGCACGGCCGGCGUCACGGGCUGCUGUUGCUCCAGCGUGUUGGGACGUGCGAGAGGCAUUUACGACCUCAGCGACACAUUCCCUCAACCUCGUCACGCUGCAAGUGCUGCCAGGGUGUGUUCAGGGGACACUCCCUCUCGGGCUGGCUUGUGCGGGGACACGUGCGUGCACAGACACGGACUCACAUAAAUGCAAUCCACAUGCACACACUCACACAAUAGGCUGUUAUGCACAGACCCUCACACUCAUGUGAACACACUCAUGCACACGCAAGACUUACAUAUUCACACUCACACCCGUGGGCACACCCAGACAUGGAUACACACUCAUACAGGCACAUACGUAUCCAGACACCCACGCACAGACACUCACACCCACGGGCACACCCAGACAUGGAUACACAGGCACACACAUAUUGGGACACCCACGCAUAGACACUCACAUUCACACACGGGCACACCCAGACUGAUGCACACGAACACAGGCACGCACUAGUAUAGCCAGACACACAGGCACACUCAAACUCUCACAGUCACACAUUCACAUACACUCACAUGAAUACAAUGCAUGCACACACAAACAUACCUAUACACUUGUGUGUGCAGAGAACACACACACAUUUGCACUUAUACUCACAUGAAUACAAUAGAAACACAUGCAUACACACUUGUGUGCCCAGACCCACACUCACACAUUUGCACACUCACAUGACUAUAAUACAUGCACACAUGCAUACAUACAUGUGACCAGACCCACACCCACUCACAUUCGCACUCACACACACGUGAAUAUAGUACUCGCACACACAUGCAUACACAUGUGCCCAGACCUACAGACACACUCACAUUUGCACACUCACACAUGUGAAUAUAGUAUAUGCACACACUCAUGUGCCCAGACCCACAGACACAUUCGCACACUCACACACGUGAAUAUAGUACAUGCAUACACACGCAUACACACUCGUGUGCCCAGACCCACAGACACAUUCGCACACUCACACAUGUGAAUAUAGUACUCGCACACACACGCAUACACGUGCCCAGACCUACAGACACACUCACAUUUGCACAGUCACACGUGAAUAUAGUAUAUGCACACACACACUUAUGUGCGCAGACCCACAGACACACACAUUCACACUCUCACACAUGUGAAUAUAGUACAUGCACACACACACGCAUACACACUCGUGCCCAGACACACACACUCACACAUUCGCACACUCAGAGUGCCCCCCUCCCUCUCACAGGCCUUGUCCUGGGGACGAGUCAAGCCGUCAGGUACCUACACUCUGAGCUCCCGGAUCACUGGGCCGACACCGGAGGCUGCUGCUGUUUGUGGUCCGUCUUCCUGUGGAGUGUAUUCGACUGCGGGGGCGUCCACAAGGUGGGUGUGGGUGGGCCCGGAGACCUUUCUUCCGGGAGGCCAAGUUUCCAAAGCCAGUCCUUCACGUUCAAGGAUGCCCUCUCCCUGCAGGAUCCUGGACUUGUCAUGGGGUCUGGAUUAGGUUAUGCUAAUGGCAUCCACACUUGGCCUUUCCCCUCUUUCCUUAUAAAUCAGCCAACAAUGGGAGGCCGUGGGCUUCGCCAGAAGCCUCUGGAAACAGAGCUGCUCCUUUCCAGCAGGCCAGGCCGACCGGGGAGGCUGCGGCCCAUCGUGCGCUGGGGGAAGGUGAGCCAGGCUCCCAUCACGUGCCGGGAGCUGAUCUUGGCAGGUCGCGUCCUCCCGAAGCCUGCACUUCAGCCCCAGGGUUUUCCGACCGCCUCUGCUCCCAGAGGGGACCCGCAGGGACGAAGAGGCCGAACACAGCACCGAGACCUCAGUGUCGGGCGCGGGUGCUCCCAAAGCGCAGCGGGCCCACCUCCCCCGGCAGAGGAUCGUGCGGCGGUCAAAGUCGCACACGG